rnacentral:misc_RNA from 1 species
CGCUACCGUACUGGUUCGAGGGUCUAACCAACUAGUGAUUGAUGAGGCUGAGCGGAGCUUGCAUGAUGCCCUGUGUGUUGUUAGGUGUUUGGUAAAUAAAAGGUUCUUGAUUGCAGGCGGUGGUGCACCAGAGAUUGAGCUGUCAAGGCAGCUAGGUGCCUGGGCAAAAGUGUUGCAUGGAAUGGAGGGUUACUGUGUUCGUUCCUUUGCGGAGGCUCUUGAAGUUAUCCCAUAUACAUUGGCUGAAAAUGCUGGGUUGAACCCAAUCACCAUUGUUACAGAACUGAGGAAUCGCCAUGCACAGGGUGAGAUCAAUACUG